AUUGAACGCUGGCGGCAGGCCUAACACAUGCAAGUCGAGCGAGCGGCGGACGGGGGAGUAAUGUCUGGGAAACUGCCUGAUGGAGGGGGAUAACUACUGGAAACGGUAGCUAAUACCGCAUACCAUCAGAUGUGCCCAGAUGGGAUUAGCUCGUAGGUGGGGUAACGACUCACCUAGGCGACGAUCCCUAGCUGGACUGAGAGGAUGACCAGCCAAACUGGAACUGAGACACGGUCCAGACUCCUACGGAAGGCAGCAGGGGGGAAUAUUGCACAAUGGGCGCAAGCCUGAUGCAGCCAUGCCGCGUGUAUGAAGAAGGCCUUCGGGUUGUAAAGUACUUUCAGCGGGGAGGCGUUACCCGCAGAAGAAGCACCGGCUAACUCCGUGCCAGCAGCCGCGGUAAUUC
rnacentral:rRNA from 1 species